GAUUUGUCAGUGUUUCCUCACCAGGGACCUCACGAGGAAAACAUGGGGAGUCUGGAGAGCUGGAAGACAGGGCACAAAUCCCAUUCAUGAGCUUUCUGCCCUUAUGACCUAAUCACCCGCCACCAAAGCCCCGUCUUCUGUUACCAUCACCUUGGUGUGAAGAUUUCAACAUAUGGAUUUAGGAAGACAGAAACAUUCAGACCAUGGCAUCCUGGCAUCUGGGACAGGGCACCAAGCACGAUAAGGGAUGUGUUCCCCCAAGGUUUACCUGAUGAGUACGCCUUUGUCACAACCUUCCGGUUCAGGAAAACCUCUCGGAAGGAAGACUGGUAUAUCUGGCAGGUCAUCGACCAGUACGGCAUCCCACAGCUUUCAGUUCCCAUGAAGGUAGGACAGCUCUCCACCAGCACACAGUCCAGUGAGGAAAGAGUAAUCUGAAAUUCAAAGCCAUCAACACAAUCUGUUGGUUUGAGAUAAAAGCAACACUACUAUUUGUUCUCUGCCAAAUUCAAAUCCCCUUGUUCUCAAGUCAUAGACAAACUGAUUCUUUCUCCUCUCCUAGAAAAAUGAACUGGAUGAAGAUAUUACUCACUUUCAGCUGGGAGAUACUGACUAAACUUUCACUAGGGGCUAAAAUAAAAUAAAAGCAUGCUCAAGCAA
rnacentral:sRNA from 1 species